rnacentral:rRNA from 1 species
CUCAAGUGGCGGACGGGUGAGUAACACGUAAGAAUUUACCUCUAGGAGGGGGAUAACAACUGGAAACGGUUGCUAAUACCCCAUAUGCUUUCGAGUGAAAUGGAUUUCCGCCUAGAGAGAAGCUUGCGGCUGAUUAGCUUGUUGGUGAGGUAAUGGCUCACCAAGGCGACGAUCAGUAUCUGGUUUGAGAGGACGAUCAGACACACUGGAACUGAGACACGGUCCAGACUCCUACGGNNGGGAGCAGUGGGGAAUUUUCCGCAAUGGGCGAAAGCCUGACGGAGCAAUACCGCGUGAGGGAUGACGGCCUAUGGGUUGUAAACCUCUUUUUUCAGGGAGGAAUCAAUGACGUGUACCUGAAGAAUAAGCAUCGGCUAACUCCGUGCCAGCAGCCGCGGUAAGACGGAGGAUGCAAGUGUUAUCCGGAAUCACUGGGCGUAAAGCGUCUGUAGGUGGUUUAAUAAGUCGACUGUUAAAUCUUGAGGCUCAACCUCAAAAUCGCAGUCGAAACUAUUAGACUAGAGUAUAGUAGGGGUAAAGGGAAUUUCCAGUGGAGCGGUGAAAUGCGUAGAUAUUGGAAGGAACACCGAUGGCGAAGGCACUUUACUGGGCUAUUACUAACACUCAGAGACGAAAGCUAGGGUAGCAAAUGGGANUAGAUACCCCAGUAGUCUUAGCUGUAAACAAUGGAUACUANAUGNUGAACAGAUCGACCUGUGCAGUAUCAAAGCUAACGCGUUAAGUAUCCCGCCUGGGAA